UUCUGACUUACCCUCAGGAAGCAAACACCUCUUUGGGAAAAAAAAAUGUGCAUUUUCUGACCCCUGAACUUGGGUUAAUGUCUGUUAAUAUUUGUCACUAAUGCUGUGUUUCUUCCUUCCGUUAGGAAAGGAAAAGCUGUUGCUAAAUGAAGUCAGCAGCUCUUCUUAUCCAGGAUAUGGUGGAAGAGAAGAAACUGCUCCAUCGAGGAACAAAGCUGUUCAGAAUAAGCAUUUACCAACAAGCCCAUGACUUAUGUAAGCAGAGGCCAGCACACACGUCGUGAGAAAUCUGCUCCCUCAUUCAGAUGUCACUAUAGCCUUCCCUAAAUGUUUCUCAAGGCCGCAGAGAAGGUUCCGAUGGGAUGGCCUCUCACUGAAUUACUGGAGAACCUCAGAUCUGUUAUCUGGGAAACCAACCAAUCAGUCCAAUUCUGAUAAAUAACGCAUCACUGUAAUAGAAUAAAAAUACAGCAAAAAUUUAAAGAAAGUUGUAUAACAUCUGAAGAGAAAGCCAAAAGAAGCUUAGAGUGGUAGUGAAUAACUGUAAUCCUGGCAAGCAGAAGGCUGGAGCAGGAAGGGCAGGGGUUGAAGGACAGCUGGAGCUAGAGUGAGUCCCUGGUUGGUCUACACAGAGUCUCUCAGAAAAAAUAAAAGAAGAAAGAAAGCAGGUAAGAAGCAUAAAACAGCAAAACAAACAAACAAAACAAAACAAAAACCAACCCAGCAAAUAGUGUUCUAUACUGCAUCAAAAGACAAAGCAUAGUAUAUUAAUGUGUACAAUAUAUAAGAAAAAAGAAGUUAAUCUAAAAUUUAUAUACCCAGAGAACUUGUCAAAAACCUAUGUGAAGCCUGGCCUGAUGAUUCAUGCCUUUAAUCAGUCCCAGCGCUCGGGAAGCAGAAGCGG